rnacentral:misc_RNA from 1 species
AUGGCCCUUCGUAAGGUGAAGGGCAACUUCGAAAGAAUGUUUGACAAGAACCUCACUGACCUCGUACGAGGAAUUAGGAAUAAUAAAGAAAAUGAGGCGAAAUACAUUGCUCAGUGUAUGGAGGAGAUCAAGCAGGAGUUACGCCAAGACAAUAUCGCGGUCAAGGCAAAUGCCGUUGCUAAACUUACCUAUCUCCAAAUGUUGGGAUAUGACAUCAGUUGGGCAGGGUUCAAUAUCAUUGAAGUUAUGUCAUCUGCAAAAUUCACUUAUAAGCGAAUUGGAUAUCUUGCAGCUAGCCAGAGCUUUCAUUCCAACACCGAACUGCUGAUGUUAACAACCAAUAUGAUUCGCAAAGACUUGAACAGUCAAAAUCAGUACGAUGCAGGAUUGGCAUUAAGUGGCCUCUCCUGUUUCAUAAGUUCCGAUUUAGCACGAGAUCUAGUCAACGAUAUAAUGACUCUCUUAACAUCGACAAAACCAUAUCUACGUAAAAAGGCAGUAUUGAUGAUGUACAAAGUGUUCCUGCGUUUUCCGGAGGCACUGAGACCUGCUUUCCCAAGAUUGAAAGAGAAGCUCGAAGAUCCAGAUAGUGGUGUACAAUCGGCUGCAGUCAAUGUAGUGUGCGAGCUGGCCAGAAAAAAUCCAAAGAACUAUCUGAGCUUAGCUCCCGUCUUCUUCAAACUCAUGACAACUUCGACGAAUAAUUGGAUGCUCAUUAAGAUCAUCAAACUGUUUGGUGCGUUAACACCCCUAGAACCUAGGCUUGGCAAAAAGCUAAUAGAACCCCUUACCAAUUUGAUACACAGCACAUCGGCGAUGUCUCUGCUUUACGAGUGCAUCAAUACUGUGAUAGCUGUACUAAUUUCGAUAUCUUCGGGAAUGCCAAAUCAUUCAGAUUCGAUCCAUCUAUGUGUUCAAAAACUGAGGAUAUUGAUAGAAGACUCCGAUCAAAAUCUGAAAUACUUGGGGCUGUUGGCCAUGUCCAAGAUCCUAAAAACUCAUCCGAAGAGUGUGCAAGCUCACAAGGAUCUCAUUAUGCAGUGUUUGGAUGACAAAGACGAGAGUAUAAGACUGCGUGCUUUAGAUCUACUGUACGGUAUGGUGUCGAAGAAAAAUUUGAUGGAAAUUGUGAGGAAAUUAAUGGUACACAUGGACAAAGCCGAGGGCACUACGUACCGAGAUGAAUUACUCUCCAAGAUCAUUCAAAUCUGCUCACAGAACAAUUAUCAGUUUAUAACAUAUUUUGAGUGGUAUAUAUCUGUACUGGUUGAACUUACAAAAAUGGAAGGAACAAAGCAUGGACAACUGGUAGCUACUCAGUUAUUGGAUGUCACGAUUCGUGUACAAGCUAUCAGAAAAUUUGCAGUUGAACAAUGUGCUUUACUAUUAGAGAAUGUUCAUCUCUUAACGGGUCAACCAAGAGCUACGAUGUCUGAAGUGCUGUACGCUGCUGCCUGGAUUUGUGGAGAGUUUUCAAGCGAACUCGAAAAUCCAUUAACUGUGCUGCGGUCGAUGGUUCAGUCACAGGCUGCCAGUUUGCCAGGACAUAUUCAAGCGAUCUACGUUCAUAAUAUACUGAAAUUAGCUGCUAUGACUUACAGUAAAGCAGAAGAAAAUGGUGAUACGGAAACUAUAGAACAAAUUUAUUCCUUCAAAGAUAACAUAGCAGCUUUUGUAUGCAGCGGUGAUUUAGAAGUUCAAGAGAGAUCUAGUUCUGCGCUAGUUCUGUUGGAGUGCAUAAAGGAAAACCCUGGUCUUGCAAAGGACUUGGCUGAAACAUUCGUAGGUGAACUGAAUCCCGUGGCACCGAAAGCUCAACGAAAGGUACAAAUGCCAGAAGGUUUGGAUCUGGACGCCUGGAUCAACGAUCCACCAUUAGAAAGUUCAGACUCGGAAGACUUAGAUAUGAAUGAUAUUUUUGUAAAGACAGAAAGGUCGAGUGAAUACAGUAAACGCAACUCAGUGGAGCCUACAACGGAAGAGCUUCAAAAGAUGCGAGAGGCAAGAAAGCUGGAACAAGAAAGUAAUCCGCAUUACUUGAAAGGGUGCAGUGUUACACAUAAGAGUUCUACCCCUUACCUUAAUGCAACCAAUAACAAUGAAGAAGACUUUGAGAACAUUCCCGUUUCUAAACUAAAUAUACCAGUUUCCUUGAAAGUAACAGGUUUCACAAAUUCCAGCAAGUAUAUUAAUCUGAACGAGAAUUCAGAAUUCAGCCAUAAAAAGCAGAAGAAGCACGGGAAGAAGAAGAAAUCAAAGAAAAAUAAAAAGUCAAGCAGCUCCGAAGACGAACAAAACGAUGACCAUCCCGUACAAAUAGUAAAUACAGGCAUAGGAGAGCUACCGCCAGGAGCAAAGUUAAGCGAUGGCGAUGACCAUGACCUUACGGAUGCCAAUGAUCCACAUCGAGCUUUAGACAUCGAUCUGGACAUGCCAUUAAGAGAAGAUGAACGGCUGCCCGUUCUGGAACAUAGAGUCGUCGACAAUCGUCUGUCUGAUAAAGUGCCUGAACAACACGUUAAGAAAGAAAAGAUAUAUAGAAAAAUAAAGAAGAAAAGUAAAACAAAGGACAGUCAGGAGAACGGUGAGAAUCAGAAGGCAGAAGACGCGAACAGCGUCGAUCUGUGGUUAGGGAGUGACACCUCACCUGAAAAGACUCGACCACUAGGUGCAGGUGAUUACAGUGAGGUAAUUAGCGAAGUGGACGUUAAGAAGCCGAAAAAGGAUGAAAACAAACGAUCAAAAACAAGGGAAAAACAGAAAAAGGAGGUCGACGAUACCACAAAGCAUCGAAAGAGGGCCAAGAAGUCGAAGGAAAAGAAAGACAAGAAAUCUACAGGCUACGAGGAGACAGCUGGGAUUUCUACUCCAUCCAAGGAAAUCAUACCGAGUUUAAACAAUGAAGCUAAUGAAAACGAAAAUACUCCUGCCGUUUCUUGCCCUAUCCAAUCCAUGUCUACAUUCGAGGAGCUGGCAAAAGAUAAAACCAUAAAAGUCCUUUACGAAUUAAAACAACUGCCACAUGAGACGGACAGAGUAGUUUUAUCUAUUUUAGUGACCAAUGUCGGACAAACCUUGGUAAAGGAAAUGGACUUUAACGUGUCUGACAGUACCACUUUAAGACUAAUUAGAAACCCGGGAGAUGAGUUCGGCGUGAAAUUGCGCUUCCAAUUAGCUCCGCAAACAAAUGGCGAGGCCCAAUUCGCAAUUUUCGUGUCGGACGUCACUUUUGCCCAGAAGCUGAAGGGAACUUUAACCUAUAUGGUGGAGAGUCCAGCAGGAAUGGUGCAAGAAAAAUUAGACUUUACAAUGCAGCUGCCAUGCAGUAGCUUUAUGAUUGGUUCUCUCUCUCAUAGAGAUAUUCUAACCGAAUUGCUUCGAAGUGGACAGCUUGUGUCGAAAAUUAAGCGAGAGGCACUCCCGUCACAAGAUUUCAGUAAAGUACUGAGCACUAUUUGUUUAAAGUGUCAUUUAACACUUGUCGAACAAAUCGAUGAUACUGCAUCCCUAUACGGACACUCAUUGAAGGGCCAUCAUGUGUGCCUUCUGUUGAAACUGAAUAAGGUAACGGGAACUUUAACAGUCGAGGGGAAAGGAGACAAUAAUUCGCUGCUGAUGGAGAUCGUGGAUGAGAUUUUAAGGAUCCUCGCGUAAUAUUUCUUUAAGGAGAGGAGAGAAACUGUAUUUUUCAACUGAAGAAUUUCUAAUAUCGGUUUCCUAACAAUUAACGCACUUUAAUAAGGUGGAAAAACUUGGGUUUACGUUUAAUACUCCCGGCUGUAAAUGAAGUGGCAAAGAGACGAACAACUUGGCUGUUCGAUAAUCUAAAGACUAUUUUCAGAAGAACGUUUGAAGGUUCGAGAGUCGUGGGAUUAAAUAGAGUAUGUCAAUAUGAAAAUAUAGAUUUGAAAAGAAAUGAUCGCACCGCCAUAUCUCAAAGCUGUUCCGUACUUCUUUCGAGAACGUAUGUAUAUCUUUUAGGCAUGUGUGCGGAAUAUGUGGAUAUACAUACCUAUAACAAAAGAAUUACUAUCUAUUAGUUACUGUAUCAACAAUGGGAUACACGUAAGGCACCAAGGAUAUAUAAGUUUGAAGCUAUAAUUAUGAUUAUAAUAUAUAGUAAAUAAAAUGAGAGAUAUAUAUGUAUA